rnacentral:rRNA from 1 species
GACGAACGCUGGCGGCGUGCUUAACACAUGCAAGUCGAACGGAAAGGCCCUGCUUGCAGGGUACUCGAGUGGCGAACGGGUGAGUAACACGUGGGUGAUCUGCCCUGCACUUCGGGAUAAGCCUGGGAAACUGGUUCUAAUACCGGAUAGGAGCCAUUUUUAGUUUGAUGGUUGGAAAGUUUUUUCGGUGUAGGAUGAGCUCGCGGCCUAUCCGCUUGUUGGUGGGGUAAUGGCCUACCAAGGCGGCGACGGGUAGCCGGCCUGAGAGGGUGGACGGCCACAUUGGGACUGAGAUACGGCCCAGACUCCUACGGGAGGCAGCAGUGGGGAAUAUUGCACAAUGGGCGCAAGCCUGAUGCAGCGACGCCGCGUGGGGGAUGACGGCCUUCGGGUUGUAAACUCCUUUCGCUAGGGACGAAGCUUUUUGUGACGGUACCUAGAUAAGAAGCACCGGCUAACUACGUG